rnacentral:rRNA from 1 species
AUUGCCCUAGUAACGGCGAGUGAAGCGGCAACAGCUCAAAUUUGAAAUCUGGCCCUCGGGUCCGAGUUGUAAUUUGUAGAGGAUGCUUUUGGUGCGGUACCUUCCGAGUUCCCUGGAACGGGACGCCAUAGAGGGUGAGAGCCCCGUCUGGUUGGAUACCAAUCCUCUGUAAAGCUCCUUCGACGAGUCGAGUAGUUUGGGAAUGCUGCUCUAAAUGGGAGGUAUAUGUCUUCUAAAGCUAAAUACCGGCCAGAGACCGAUAGCGCACAAGUAGAGUGAUCGAAAGAUGAAAAGCACUUUGAAAAGAGAGUUAAAAAGUACGUGAAAUUGUUGAAAGGGAAGCGCUUAUGACCAGACUUGGGCUUGGUUGAUCAUCCUGGGUUCUCCCUGGUGCACUCUUCCAGUUCAGGCCAGCAUCAGUUCGCUGCGGGGGAUAAAAGCUUUAGGAAUGUGGCUCUUUCGGGAGUGUUAUAGCCUAUUGCAUAAUACCCUGCUCCGGACUGAGGUUCGCGCAUCUGCAAGGAUGCUGGCGUAAUGGUCAUCAGCGACCCGUCUUGAAACACGGACCAAGGAGUCGUCUUCGUAUGCGAGUGUUCGGGUGUUAAACCCCUACGCGUAAUGAAAGUGAACGCAGGUGAGAGCUUCGGCGCAUCAUCGACCGAUCCUGAUGUUCUCGGAUGGAUUUGAGUAAGAGCAUACGGGGCCGGACCCGAAAGAAGGUGAACUAUGCCUGUAUAGGGUGAAGCCAGAGGAAACUCUGGUGGAGGCUCGCAGCGGUUCUGACGUGCAAAUCGAUCGUCAAAUAUGGGCAUAAGGCGAAAGACUAAU